rnacentral:rRNA from 1 species
UUUUAAAAGGAACGUCUGCCACUGUUUAAUGAAGGGCCGCGGUAUUUUGACCGUGCAAAGGUAGCAUAAUCAUUAGUCUUUUAAUUGGAGAAUGGAAUGAAUGGCUUAAUGAUUUUUUUCUGUUAUAUUUAUUAAAAAAAAUAAUUUUGAUUUUAAAUGAAAAUAUUUAAUUAAUUUAGUUAGACGAUAAGACCCUAUAGAAUUUUAUUUUUAAUAUAUUAAAUAAUAUAAAAGAAGUUUAAAUGGGGCAUUUUUUGAUUAAUUAAAAUUUCUAAUUAAUUAUUUAAAAAUAUCUUUAUUUAAAUAUUUUUAAAAAAUUACCUUAGGGAUAACAGCGUAAUAAUUUUUAAGAGUUCAUAUCGACAAAAUAGUUUGCGACCUCGAUGUUGAAUUAAAAUACUUUUAUGGAGCAGCUUUUAUAAUAAGUAGUCUGUUCGACUAUUAAAAUUUUACAUGAUUUGAGU